UACGUGAACAAGAUGUCAUAAAUAAGGCACAAUUGUUUCAACUGGAGGAAUUGCAUCUGCCUUAGAAAAUGUUGUUGUCUCUGUAACCAAUGUGAGCAGCUUACUUAUUUCAAUGAAAUGCUUGACAGUCAUGUGAAAACACUGGUCAUGUGAAAACACUACAGCCCAACAUACAUGGUGGUAUUCGUGCUAGAAGAGACCAAAAGCAUCACAUGGAAGCUCUUAAUAAGCAUGGCAUUGGUAUGUUUGAUGUGGUGGUUGUGAACUUGUACCCGUUUUAUGAUAAGGUUACUUCUACUGGAAGAAUUGGAUUUGACGAUGGCAUCGAGAAUAUUGAUAUUGGUGGUCCUGCAAUGAUUAGAGCUGCU